GACAGAGGGUGCAAACGUUGUUCGGAAUUACUGGGCGUAAAGCGUGUGUAGGCGGCCAUGUAAGUCGGAUGUGAAAGCCCCGGGCUUAACCCGGGAAGUGCAUUCGAUACUGCGUGGCUUGAGUAUCGGAGAGGUUGGUGGAAUUCUCGGUGUAGAGGUGAAAUUCGUAGAUAUCGAGAGGAACACCGGUGGCGAAGGCGACUUUCUGGCCUGUUCUUGACGCUGAGGCGCGAAAGCUAGGGGAGCAAACGGG
rnacentral:rRNA from 1 species